UUAGACAUGUGAUUCCCACAUCAUGUGCCAGGAAAAAUAAAUCAGGAUCCCUGGAGAUGGGAGCAGAAUCCAAGACAUACAAGUAAUUCUAAUAAGCUUCCCCCCUUUCCUUUAUAUUGUAAAUGCAGUGAAAGAAGAAAACAUGACCUACAUGGAACUCUGGCCCCCAUGGCCAAGGUCAAAGUCAUCAUCAUCAUCAUCAUCAUCAUCAUCAUCCACCCACAC